UACAGAGGGUGCAAGCGUUAAUCGGAAUUACUGGGCGUAAAGGGUGCGUAGGUGGUUUUGUAAGUCAGAUGUGAAAUUCCCGGGCUUAACCUGGGGACUGCGUCUGAUACUGCAAAGCUAGAGUACUGUAGAGGGAAGUGGAAUUUCCGGUGUAGCAGUGAAAUGCGUAGAUAUCGGAAGGAACAUCAGUGGCGAAGGCGACUUUCUGGACAGAUACUGACACUGAGGCACGAAAGCGUGGGGAGCAAACAGG
rnacentral:rRNA from 1 species